AAUAUUGUGCAAUGGAGGGAACUCUGACGCACCGACGCCGCGCGAGCGAUGAAGCUCUCCGGAUCGUAAAGCACUGUCCUUGGGGCAGAAGGUUUUCGGACUUGAAGGUACCUUAGGAGGAAGCGCCGGCUACCUACGUGCCAGCAGCCGCGGUAAUACGUAAGGGGCAAGCGUUGUCCGGAAUUAUUGGGCGUAAAGGGUGCGUAGGCGGCCUUUUAAGUCCGAUGUGAAGGCCCACGGCUUAACCGUGGGACUGCAUUUGAAACUGAAGGGCUUGAGUAUCGGAGAGGGUAGUGGAAUGCCCAGUGUAGCGGUGGAAUGCGUAGAUAUUGGGAGGAACACCAGUGGCGAAGGCGACUACCUGGACGAAAACUGACGCUGAGGCACGAAAGCUAGGGGAGCAAACA
rnacentral:rRNA from 1 species